rnacentral:rRNA from 1 species
GCGAUGAAGUUUCUUCGGAAAUGGAUUAGCGGCGAACGGGUGAGUAACGCGUAGGAAUCUGCCUGAUAGUGGGGGAUACCCCGGGGAAACCCGGAUUAAUACCGCAUACGCCCUACGGGGGAAAGCAGGGGAUCGUAAGACCUUGCGUUAAUGGAGCGGCCGAUAUCUGAUUAGCUUGUUGGUGAGGUAAAGGCUCACCAAGGCGACGAUCCGUAGCUGGUCUGAGAGGACGACCAGCCACACUGGGACUGAGACACGGCCCAGACUCC